rnacentral:rRNA from 1 species
GAUGAACGCUCGCUACAGGCUUAACACAUGCAAGUCGCGGGGCAGCAUGGGGGUUGCUUGCAAUCCCCGAUGGCGACCGGCGCACGGGUGAGUAACGCGUAUCCAACCUGCCCUUCACCACGGGAUAACCCGGCGAAAGUCGGACUAAUACCGUAUGUUGUCCAUUGACGGCAUCCGAUUUGGACGAAAGGUUUGGCGGUGAAGGAUGGGGAUGCGUCCGAUUAGCUGGACGGCGGGGUGACGGCCCACCGUGGCGACGAUCGGUAGGGGUUCUGAGAGGAAGGUCCCCCACACUGGAACUGAGACACGGGCCAGACUCCUACGGGAGGCAGCAGUGAGGAAUAUUGGUCAAUGGGCGUAAGCCUGAACCAGCCAAGUAGCGUGCAGGAUGACGGCCCUAUGGGUUGUAAACUGCUUUUAUGCGGGGAUAAAGUGGCCCACGUGUGGGUUUUUGCAGGUACCGCAUGAAUAAGGACCGGCUAAUUCCGU